rnacentral:rRNA from 1 species
UAGGGAAUCUUCGGCAAUGGGGGCAACCCUGACCGAGCAACGCCGCGUGAGUGAAGAAGGUUUUCGGAUCGUAUAGCUCUGUUGUAAGAGAAGAACGUGUGUGAGAGUGGAAAGUUCACACAGUGACGGUAACUUACCAGAAAGGGACGGCUAACUACGUGCCAGCAGCCGCGGUAAUACGUAGGUCCCGAGCGUUGUCCGGAUUUAUUGGGCGUAAAGCGAGCGCAGGCGGUUUAAUAAGUCUGAAGUUAAAGGCAGUGGCUUAACCAUUGUUCGCUUUGGAAACUGUUAAACUUGAGUGCAGAAGGGGAGAGUGGAAUUCCAUGUGUAGCGGUGAAAUGCGUAGAUAUAUGGAGGAACACCGGUGGCGAAAGCGGCUCUCUGGUCUGUAACUGACGCUGAGGCUCGAAAGCGUGGGGAGCAAACAGG